GACGAACGCUGGCGGCGUGCUUAACACAUGCAAGUCGAACGGAAAGGCCCUGCUUUCGUGGGGUGCCCGAGGGGCGAAGGGGGGAGUAACAGGAGUGUAACGUGCUCUACUCUUUGGUAGAGCUUCAGGAAGGUGGGGCUAAUACCGGACAGCAUCUCCCCCUGCAUUGUGGGGGUUGGAAAGUUUCGCCGUUCGGGGUUGGAUGAGCGGCUUACGAGUUAGUUGGUGGGGUAGUGGCUGACCAAGCCUUUGACGGGUAGCCGGCCGGAGAGGGUGACCGGCCACAAGGGUCCUGCGAUACGGCCCAGACUCCUACGGUAGGCAGCAGUGGGGAAUAUUGCACAAUGGGCGCAAGCCUGAUGAAGCAGCGCCGCGUUCGGGAUGACGGCCUUCGGGUUGUAAACCGCUUUCGGUUGUGACGAAGCGUUAGUGACGGUACCGGAUGAAGAAGCACCGGCUAACUACGUG
rnacentral:rRNA from 1 species